rnacentral:lncRNA from 12 species
GCUCUUGAGCUGAGGGAUACAAUUGUUAGUCCAUAUUUCUCUUCUUCUUUUCAUCUCUCACAGUUCUUUUCUCUCAGGUCUCUUCAGUUAUCUCAGAAUGUCUCAUUGUCUUCUCCCACUCAACCAGGUCAAUUCCUGAAUGGCAGCUAUUGCUCGUUCGGAAGAGAGGAUUGCGACUGGCAGCUGGUUCCAGCAAGGGGACCACAAUGGAGAGCCCAUCCGUCCAUUCCCCAAAGCCUCAGAAGCAGCUGUCCAUCACCAGGGGCCUUGCUGGCCAUUGACAGUCAGCCCAAAGGUCAGCGAGGAUCAGCCCAGGUGCGAAGCCCGCUUUUCUUCUACCCUCUACGGAACGCCCCUUGCAUGGUAAGAAGACGGCGUUUAUGCAUUCUGCAAGCGGCUGUAAUGCACAGUGUUUUUUGUGAGAUGGGGCUCUGGAUCUCUGAGGAAAUUAGGUUUCCAUCAAGCCUUAUUUACAAAUGUAUUCUACCCUAUGCAUGCAGCUAUCAAUGCUACACCUAUAGAAAUGCUCUGAAAACUGAUAUGGUUUAUAUAGCAUUUAGGAUAAUGCAGCAGGAGGUAAUGGCCACAGAUAAGUGGAAAGAUUUAGUAUGUUAAAAAGAUAACAUACCAUGUACUUAUGAUGUUUCUACACAUGCAGUAUGUACUGGAGGCUGGAUGCAGAUAAAGUGGGACAUUAGGAUUUUGUUUCUUUCUCUGUAUAGUGUAGAGGAGAUCAUUGGUAGGCCUAUUGUGCAUCAGCUUGCUGUGUGAUAUAUUUUAUUACGGGUGUUUUCAAACCCUCAAGGACCCUCAAAAUAGCUAGAAGAAUAAAAAAAAUAAGUGCAGUUAAUGGUAAACCUACAGUAUUUGUGUUACAACCAAUGUGUUUAUGAUUAUGAUAAUAAAUUUAAAUAAUAUAAAAACAAUUAUCAAUAUCAAGCAGGAUAACAAGGUUUUUUUUUUUCUUUUCUUUUUUGUACAGCUAAAGUAACUGGAAGCAGAUGACACUGGAAAUUCACACACAUUCAAAUACAAAUGGCUGCACACACUCUUACAUUAAAACAUAAGGUGGCUAAAAGAGCCAUUUAUACUUUGAAGAUAAAAAAAAAAAAAAAAAAACACAUGAUUCCAAAAGUUCUGUCAUAAAACAGGCCGAUAGGUUCUAACUCAGUCUGAUACAAUCACAUCAUUAUUCACGCGGCACAGCUGAUUGGUUUAUUUUUGCAUCAGCAGCAAAUGACCUUUCUGUUCAAAAAUCAAAUACUUGGCUAGUGCGUGCUGUAACAGCUGCAGUGCUUUUCAGAAAUCCUCCACCUUCCCCAGCUCCACCUGUAUAGAUUGGCUAUGAGUUAAUUUCAUGUAGGUUAUAUAAGGGGGUUAUAUAUUUCAUAUAUGUUAUAUGUACAGCAGCAGAAUUUCUAUGAAGGUAAAAAAAAAGUAGCAAAGCUGGAGAGCUUGUUUAUUUGAAUGUGAG